AACGAACGCUGUCGGCGUGCUUAACACAUGCAAGUCGAACGCGAAAGGGACUUCGGUCCUGAGUAAAGUGGCGCACGGGUGAGUAACACGUGGAUAAUCUACCCAGUGUUCCGGGAUAACACUUCGAAAGGAGUGCUAAUACCGGAUAAGCCCACGGGAACUUCGGUUCUUGCGGGAAAAGGUGGGGACCUUCGGGCCUACUGUCACUGGAUGAGUCCGCGGCCCAUUAGCUAGUUGGUGAGGUAAUGGCUCACCAAGGCAACGAUGGGUAGCUGGUCUGAGAGGAUGAUCAGCCACACUGGAACUGAGACACGGUCCAGACUCCUACGGGAGGCAGAAGUGGGGAAUUGUGCGCAAUGGGCGAAAGCCUGACGCGGCAACGCCGCGUGAGUGAGGAAGGCCCUCGGGUCGUAAAGCUCUGUCAGAGGGGAAGAACCGCCGUACGGAUAAUAACCGUGCGGUCUGACGGUACCCUCAAAGGAAGCACCGGCUAACUCCGUGCCAGCCGCCGCCGUAAAAC
rnacentral:rRNA from 1 species